rnacentral:ncRNA from 1 species
AUAAAAGUUAUGACAGGAAUUAGUAACAGUAUAUCUUUCUGAAGAGAGUCGAUGGUUGGUGUAAAUCGAUGUGAGCGUACUGUGAAUCCAUCCUUGAACUGGUUCAUUGAAACCGGAUUUUCCGGAAGUAAAUAAACCCGGUAGUUACCGUUAAAAACUGUGAGCCGGAAGAGGUUAUACUCUUCAACAAGGGUGGCAACGCGGGAAUUAUACUCUCGUCCCUAUU